rnacentral:snRNA from 1 species
GGAUGUGAGGGCGAUCUGGCUGCUACAUCUGUCACCCCAUUGAUUGCCAGGACUUAUUCAGCUGAUUUGGUUGGUCAGGUGGGUGUCCCCUUUCUCCCUCACUGCUCCCAAAGCUUUGCGCUGGGUCAAAGAGGAGGACAGUUUCCUGGGUCAAGGGUAUAUGAGUAGCUGUGUUCCCCUGCUAGAACCACCAAACAAGCUCUCAAAAUAAAAUUUAGAAAGGGCUGGCAGCUGGGUAUGGUGGCACAGGCCUGUAAACACAGCACUCAGAAGGCACACCUAUAUUGCUAGCG